rnacentral:rRNA from 1 species
UACGUAGGGGGCAAGCGUUAUCCGGAUUUACUGGGUGUAAAGGGAGCGCAGACGGCAGUGCAAGUCUGGAGUGAAAGCCCGGGGCCCAACCCCGGAACUGCUCUGGAAACUGUGCGGCUAGAGUACUGGAGGGGCAGGCGGAAUUCCUAGUGUAGCGGUGAAAUGCGUAGAUAUUAGGAGGAACACCAGUGGCGAAGGCGGCCUGCUGGACAGUAACUGACGUUGAGGCCCGAAAGCGUGGGGAGCAAACAGG